rnacentral:rRNA from 1 species
GACGAACGCUGGCGGCGUGCCUAAUACAUGCAAGUAGAACGCUGAAGAGAGGAGCUUGCUCUUCUUGGAUGAGUUGCGAACGGGUGAGUAACGCGUAGGUAACCUGCCUUGUAGCGGGGGAUAACUAUUGGAAACGAUAGCUAAUACCGCAUAACAAUGGAUGACACAUGUCAUUUAUUUGAAAGGGGCAAUUGCUCCACUACAAGAUGGACCUGCGUUGUAUUAGCUAGUAGGUGAGGUAAUGGCUCACCUAGGCGACGAUACAUAGCCGACCUGAGAGGGUGAUCGGCCACACUGGGACUGAGACACGGCCCAGACUCCUACGGGAGGCAGCAGUAGGGAAUCUUCGGCAACGGGGGCAACCCUGACCGAGCAACGCCGCGUGAGUGAAGAAGGUUUUCGGAUCGUAAAGCUCUGUUGUAAGUCAAGAACGGGUGUGAGAGUGGAAAGUUCACACUGUGACGGUAGCUUACCAGAAAGGGACGGCUAACUACGUG